rnacentral:lncRNA from 1 species
UUCACUCACCCAACUUCCCCAACAUUCAUCAGACACGCUGUGAAUUGGAAACCCUAAUCCAAUUCGAAACCUGAAAAUCCCCCAAAUCCAUUGGCUUCUGGAAGGAAUUCGUUGAACUUUUCUUCCUGAAGGCAAAAUCGUUUCUGUGGAAGUAAAUGAAAUUACCCAAAAUUGAAACCCACGAAUCCCAAGGCGAACCUGGCGAUUUUUCCCCAAAAAAUCGAUCUGCAUCUGCAUCGGCAGGUUUAAUGGAUCCACGGAUAGUGUACUGGGUUUCUUCCAUCUUUUUUGCAGUUUUUGGAGGAGGACGAUUCUGUUACUUAUUUUAGAGAUUUUAAGAAAAAGGCCCAUUUUUUGUCAAUGGUGAUGAGGUAUGUAUCUAUAAAUAUUUCAAGUUCUACCAAAGUUUCGUAUUCUGCAGUAAUAUUUUUGGUUUGUUCAAUUAAAGAUUCUUCUUGAACUUUUUUGGAAAUUCUGGAGAUGGUGCAUAAUAAUGAAAUUAACCAUUAAUUAGCAAAUCUUAACUUGUUUUCUUGCAUUUGGGUUCAUUGUCACUGAUCAAGCCUUUUUCUUCUGCUCGAUUAUCUAUAACUUUGUAAUGGUACUUCUUUUGGUGGCUUUGUUGUGGAACAUUUACACUUUUUGAUUCCUAUAACAUGUUUUUUAGGAGUGGAAGACGUGCUGUGGGAUGUAAGUUUUUUAGAGUUGAAGAAAAUUAAUGGAAAUGUUGUAUGGCAUGUAUAGAUGAUGCAAGGAUACGGUAGAAUUUUCUUUGCAUUUAGAGAGUCUUCCAUAUUCAGAAACAAUUUAUGUGUGCAUGAUUGUUCUAUAUUGAUCUUUGAUUUGUAACUGCAGUGGCAAAGAAUUUUGUAUCUAUGGUUAUAUUGAUCUUUUUCUCUAGUUGAUGCAUCUCACGUGUAUCAGUAUGACAUAGCUGGACUAAUUUGACGAUAUUUUCUUUGCACUAUUUGCAGUGGACAAAGUAGAAACUUUGAAGCACUACAAAUUUAGCGUCACUUUCGAGAAUUCAAAUGAGGAGGAUUAAGUCACAAAUUUUUUUUUCUAGUGUCUCGUGGCUGGUAUUAGGAAGCCCGGUCAUCUGGGAAUGAUGUUCCGUCAUCUGGGAAAAAACCAUUGCAGUUUGAAGGUGAGUCUAGUGGAGACUCGGGGUGUGUUUGUUUGGGUAAAUGUACGUCUAAAGAUCCGAUUGAAGAUUUGUCGUUUAUAUUCACGAGAUUCGCUCAAAUAUUCAAAAAAGAAAACGUGGAGAUAUCCCCGAACAUAAUUAUCCGCAAGGUAAAAGGAUCUGCUGGAGAGAACAGCAAAGGAAAGGAAAGAGAAACGUGAACGUGUUCCAACAUUGUAAUGGAAGAAAAGACUAAUGUUAUAUUUUUCGUAGUUUGUAAUCGGUACUAAAUUUGGCGUAUGUUGAUUAUGUUGAAAUUUGGAUUAAAUUCAGUUGAAAUUAUUUCCAAACGUUAGUCACAGUGCUUUUAUUAAAGUUUCUAUUGUGAUGCCACAAUUUCGUGCUC